rnacentral:lncRNA from 1 species
GAAGUUGUCCCAACCGCGGCCGCGUCGGUCGCCCUUUUGACUUGCAGCAGGGCGGGCAGAGCGACUUAGAGGAAAAGUGACUUUUUGUACCCUCCUGCAGGGAGCAGGUUCUCUGUCCUUGUUUAAUUAGACAUUUCUCAGGUGGGCACUUUGAAUUCCUUCCAGUCAAGACUCAGGUGUUCAACUUGUUUUGUCGGCCGUCUUCCUCCACCCUUCUUCUCCCAUUCAAAACAAAAAGAAUCCUGCCUCUGCUCUGAAGCCUUUCUGUUCGCUCCAGUGAAAAUUAGUCAUCCACCGGGCGCGGUGGCUCACGCCUGCAAUCCCAGCACUUUGGGAGGCCGAGAGAAGGAAGAUGAUGAUAGAAGCCCCGAUCAGGGAUGUUGGAUUCUGGUGUUGGAGGACCAAGUAUUAGGUCUGGGCUUGAUGUUCACCGAUUUUCCCUCAGCUCCGACUGUGGCUCCUCUCAGCUGACUCUGACCCUGCUCUCAGCCGGGCUGCAUCUGCCCAUCUCAGCACAUCAAUAAACAGCAGAGGGAAACUACCACCUUGGAAGGAGCCAGGCAGUUUCUGCUGGGUAGGCCGCAGCCUGGAACAUGGAAGUAGCUUCUUCCAUCCUACACUGGAAACCACCCAGCAUCCCGGGCCCUCCAGAGAAGAGCCAGACUCCCUUCCCUGGGAAGAGACUAUAGUCCUAUCUGUAUCCUCCGUGGUCAUUGCCCCUCAGUCACAGCAAUGAAGAGCAAAUUACCUGUUUUCUGUAUGUUCCUCUGACAACAACUGCCACAGAGUAAAUAUGAAAGGUUCUGGA